rnacentral:rRNA from 1 species
AACGUAGGAGACAAACGUUAUCCGGAGUUACUGGGCGUAAAGGGCGUGUAGGCGGUUUGUUAAGUUUGGCGUGAAAGCUCUCGGCUAAACCGGGAGAGGUCGUUGGAUACUGGCAAACUAGAGGACGGUAGAGGCGUGUGGAAUUCCGGGUGUAGUGGUGAAAUGCGUAGAGAUCCGGAGGAACACCAGUGGCGAAGGCGACACGCUGGGCCGUACCUGACACUAAAGCGCGACAGCAUGGGGAGCAAACGGG